CCUACGGGUGGCAGCAGUGGGGAAUAUUGCACAAUGGGGGAAACCCUGAUGCAGCGACGCCGCGUGAGGGAAGAAGUAAUUCGUUAUGUAAAGCUCUAUCAGCAGGGAAGAAAAUGACGGUACCUGAGUAAGAAGCCCCGGCUAACUACGUGCCAGCAGCCGCGGUAAUACGGAGGGGGCAAGCGUUAUCCGGAUUUACUGGGUGUAAAGGGAGCGUAGACGGCAGUGCAAGUCUGGAGUGAAAGGCUGGGGCUCAACCCCCGGACUGCUCUGGAAACUGUACGGCUGGAGUACAGGAGAGGUAAGUGGAAUUCCUAGUGUAGCGGUGAAAUGCGUAGAUAUUAGGAAGAACACCAGUGGCGAAGGCGGCUUACUGGACUGUAACUGACGUUGAGGCUCGAAAGCGUGGGUAGCAAACAGGAUUAGAUACCCCUGUAGUC
rnacentral:rRNA from 1 species